UUAACUCAAAUUUGUAUGGAGUUGGAACAACUUCCCUUCGUUUGCCGCUAGGGGCGCUGUUCCAACUCCAUACAAAUUUAAGUUG
rfam:Bombyx mori DNA, contig: Bm_scaf30_contig18950, strain: p50T/Dazao, build 2, whole genome shotgun sequence.